UAGUAUUGUUCUAAGUUAAACUUCUCUAUGUUUGACCAACUCUAUAGAAAAAUAUGUCAAUAUCUACAACAUCAAAUAUAUAUAGAACAUCAAAUAUAUAUAGUAUGGAAAUAUAUGUUAUGAUGAAUCCAAUGAAACUAAUUUGGUGUUGUAGAUGUUAAUAUAUUUUCCUAUAGACGUGAUCAAACUUAAAGAAGUUUGACUUAGGACAAAGCUAG
rnacentral:pre_miRNA from 1 species